UCCCGUUUAGCUCAGUUGGUAGAGCGCGUCACUAGUAUGAUUACAUCAUUCAAUGACGAGGUCAGUCGUUCGAGUCGGCUAAUGGGAA